CCCCUCUCUGUGACUCUUUCCUAGGCCUCCGCGCCUAGGAAAUACGAUGGUGCCCCCAUAGGAUCAAAUUUCAGCGUCACAGCUGGGGACUGGCUUCGCGGUCCCUGAUGGGAGAGCAUGAACAGUGACCCUCUUUUGGCUGGCCUACCCCUGGACCAGGACUACUCUGUACCCCCUCACUCCCCUUCUCAUUCAUCCUCCAACGUGUGUUUGCCUGCUUAUGGGAAGUGGUCUUCUUCAGACAAAGCUGUGGACUGUAGGAGUUAUUGGACCAGGACCACAGAACCAGAGACCUUGGAACCUACUGCCUCUGAGGACACAGUGAGGAUUAUAGAUUGGAAACCAGGGUGGGGCUCGGGACCUCAGCCACAUGGGGCUCCCUCCAUUUCUAACCCAGACCAGCAGGAGCACUGUAAUGACCAGGAUCUUCUGAAGAGGCAUCAAAACACAGCCAAGGUCACCCCACCCAGGAAACCCCUUCAGUCUAGGAAAACACUGCAGUAUACUUCUGUGGGACUUAGGGAAGGGGUUAUGGGGCAGGGGGACCUUCAAGGGUACUCAAGCUAUACGUGUUCAGCACCUAGAACAGCGUCCUCCUCUCAUCAGGAUCUCCAUAAUGUAAGGAGUGGAUGGAAGGGAUGUGCAGUCAUGUGUAUUUGGUGGGGGUUUUGUUUGUUUCUUUGUUUUGCUGUGUCUCUGGCUGUGAUUUGGCUUGUAUGUCAAAAUGUGAGCAAAUGGAUGCCUGGGUCUUACAACCUAGCACGCAUGGCUGUGCCUGAGGUUGGAUGUCUGGGUGUCUGUAUGUUGGCAACCGUGUGUAGUGCCGUUGAUGCCCACUGCAGACAUUGUCAAGGCUGUUUUCCCCUAUGGAGGAGGGCCAUCACCUGGGCCCAAGCCAGGGACAUGGCUGGCAUCUGCUAUCAGGGGCAACUUACAGGUCUACACACAUGUGGGAUGUGCCACACAGUGCAUUUUGAGCAUGUGCAAGUCAGAUGUGCCUGGAGGCAGCUUUGCCAGCGCUUGUGGUUUGGGACACCUAUAUCUCAGAAGACCCAACUCUUGUCCAACCUUCCAAAUUGGGCCAAAUUUCCACUCCCUUCUUGUCCCCCUUCCCUAGAAGCCCUUGGAGACCAGCUCUUCCAAAGUCAAAGCUAA
rnacentral:lncRNA from 1 species